rnacentral:rRNA from 1 species
GAUGAACGCUGGCGGCGUGCCUAAUACAUGCCAGUCGAGCGAACGGACGAGAAGCUUGCUUCUCUGAUGUUAGCGGCGGACGGGUGAGUAACACGUGGAUAACCUACCUAUAAGACUGGGAUAACUUCGGGAAACCGGAGCUAAUACCGGAUGAUAUUUUGAACCGCAUGGUUCAAAAGUGAAAGACGGUCUUGCUGUCACUUAUAGAUGGAUCCGCGCUGCAUUAGCUAGUUGGUAAGGUAACGGCUUACCAAGGCAACGAUGCAUAGCCGACCUGAGAGGGUGAUCGGCCACACUGGAACUGAGACACGGUCCAGACUCCUACGGGAGGCAGCAGUAGGGAAUCUUCCGCAAUGGGCGAAAGCCUGACGGAGCAACGCCGCGUGAGUGAUGAAGGUCUUCGGAUCGUAAAACUCUGUUAUUAGGGAAGAAAAUAUGUGUAAGUAACUGUGCACAUCUUGACGGUACCUAAUCAGAAAGCAACGGCUAACUACGUG